rnacentral:tRNA from 1 species
UAAAAGCUAGGUUAAUUAAAACCGAGGACUUGUGGCGUCCUAGAUUUAAAUUGUUUAAGUUUUAGU